ensembl:lncRNA
GACAAAGUGUGGAAUGGAUGCAAACAAUAAUCGUCUGGAGUCAGGUGCUACCUCUGGAGAUGUUACCCAGUGCACCCAACAUUCACAACAGAAAUCUGCUUCCCACAUCGAGGUGACAGAAAGUGGAAUAGAGGUGGACAGUAAUCGUUUGGAGUCAGAUGGUGCCUCUGGAGAUGAUAAUCAUUGCACCCAACAUUCACCGGAUGAGUCUACAUUCUGCAAUCUGGUGCCAGAUGAAACAUUUGCUGAUGACCAGUAUUGUAUACCGCAGUCACAAGAGGAAACAAGCACUCCUCAGAUAUUGAACCAGAACUGAAACCAUCUACAGAGCAAGCCCAGAAAACCUCAUCUGAGCAAGCAACAGAAUCAACCAGUACCACAUCUGUUCCCAAAGGUGUUAAGGUGGUAAAGAAAAUGGGAGACCAGUGAAGUGAAAGCAUUUGAAAAACAUCUGUACAGGUUCAUAAAAACUUGCACAGUGCCAGGAAAAAAACAUGGUGAGGCCUGUAUUAAAGCUGAGCCUGUUGCACUGAAAGGCAGGGAUUAGUUGUCUGUUAAGUUCUUUGUAAAAAAAAUAGAAUCACUGCCCUUAAAAGGAAAAUGUAACCCAGAAAAAGUCUGCAUGGUUUCAUUUGGUUUUAUUUGCACAGAUCAUUGGUAGUUUUAGUUUAUUAUUAUUAUUAAGUUUAUGGCUUGAAUUUUGUAUUGUACAAUUUAAUUUUUUCUACUUUUUUACUUCAUUUAUGAGAAACUUUUUUUGAGUGUUAAUUAGUAACUGCCUGAAAAUACUAUCUUUGUGAAAAUACUGCAUUGCAAAUGGCAAAAUGUUUCAGAUUAAAAUAAAA